ensembl:lncRNA
UACGCUUCCAGGAACACUGAAGGUGUGUUUGUCUUAGUGUGUGUGUGUGUGUGUGUGUUUGUGUGACGCAUGGCAGUGUGUCAAAGAGAGGUAUCACAUACGGGUUCUCAAUGCUGGAGCCAGCCAGUCAGCCAAGCGCCAACCAAGCCAGCCAGUCAGUCAGUCACCAACCCAGUCAGUCUGCCAUCCAGCCACACAGCCGUUCAGUCAUCCAGUCAGUCAGUCAUCCAGGGAGUGAAGGAGGAGAAGCCUCGCCAAGCCAGCCAGUCAGUCACCCACCCAGUCAGUCAGUCAGUCACCCACCCAGUCAGUCACAGCCUCUCCCAGUCAGUCAGUCAGUCAGUCAGUCAGUCAGUCACCCAGUCAGUCAGUCAGUCAGUCAUCCAGGGAGUGAAAAAGGAGCAGCCUCUCCCAGCCAGUCAGUCAGUCACCAAGUCAGUCAGUCAGUCAUCCAGGGAGUGAAAGAGGAGCAGCCUCUCCCAGCCAGUCAGUCAGUCACCCAGUC